ACAGUGUCAAAGUUCUAUUUAUUGCCAGUCUAGCAGAGGGAACAAAGGGGAAGUAAGUAAAUUAUGUAAUGAAAAAAAAUUCACAUAAAAUGAGCAUGACUUCUUGGUUUCCACAAGCUCAACUAUAUUCUCUUCUUUUUGAAUUAUAGGCUUUUCAACAUUUGGUGACAAUUCUUCAAAUUCAUUAGUUAAAAGAGGAAAAUGAAUAGUGUUGGAGAACCUGCAGGAAAGACACAGAGAUGACAAGAGUGAUCUGCCACCCUUCAGAAGUCUAACAUUAUGGGAGAAUACCCAACUUGUCAAUUCGAUUCAAUGAAUAGCAAGCACUCCAAGUCUAGGACUCUUUUCAUCAGGCCAUAAACCUAAGGACAAACAUGCAGUGACAGAAAAGACAGACGUGUCUUAGACCAGAGAAUUUAAAUCUAGAGUUGGCUAUAGUGGGGAAAAUCAGCGAUGGAAGGCAAUGACCACCCAGUGGGAUCAAGACAGAGGAAGAAAGAGUCUUCUAAAAUGGCCUGAGUGCUUAUGGAGAAGGAAAAGCUACCAAUACUUGGCGUAAUAAUUGACAGAUGACCGACAAACCUUGCCUUUUUACUUUUCCUCCUUCAGUAGUCACGGUCAUAGGAUCAGGGUCAAAGUUGUGAAGAAAUAUAGUCAUCUCAUUCUUUGAGAAGCUGGCAAGCAUUUUAUUUGUUUGGGGAUUACGGGUUGGUCAUGUCAAAGCUGCUUAAAGCCUUAUCGUUAGAAAUACCCUUCAAAAUGUUUCAGGAUUCUGACACCUUUGGUAAUUAAAGUUAUUAAUUUUCCUUGUAACAAAAGAUCUAAUAUUGGGAGUGUCACUAGAGUGCACUAUCUGCACUACUCUAAAACACAAGGUGCAGAGGGACAUUUUCACACAACAGAUUGUUUGGCGGUGACUGAAA